rnacentral:rRNA from 1 species
CCUACGGGUGGCAGCAGUGAGGAAUAUUGGUCAAUGGGCGGAAGCCUGAACCAGCCAAGUAGCGUGCAGGAUGACUGCCCUACGGGUUGUAAACUGCUUUUAUAUGGGAAUAACGUGCCUUAUGUGUACUGCUUUGCAUGUACCUUAUGAAUAAGGAUCGGCUAACUCCGUGCCAGCAGCCGCGGUAAUACGGAGGGUCCGGGCGUUAUCCGGAUUUAUUGGGUUUAAAGGGAGCGUAGGCGGGUUGUCAAGCGUGCUGUGAAAUGUCGGGGCUCAACCGUAACCUUGCAGUGGAUACUGGCGUCCUUGAGUCCGCGGAAGGCAGGCGGAAUUCGUCGUGUAGCGGUGAAAUGCUUAGAUAUGACGAAGAGCCCCGAUUGCGAAGGCAGCUUGCUGCAGCGGAACUGACGCUGAUGCUCGAAAGCGCGGGUAUCGAACAGGAUUAGAUACCCGGGUAGUC